AAUCUCUACCUACUAUGAAAGACUGAUGUUAUACUUGGCAGGUGGCAGAAAUCCAAUGAAUGACUGUUGGUAUUAUUAGUUGUUCUUAUUAUUCAGUGACCCCAGGAAUAGAGAUUUAGUCUGAGACUCAGUCCUUGCAGAUCAUGAAACAAACUAUCACAUUGAUUCUGUUUUCUUCUUCUUUUCCUCUUCAUCUGCCUCCUCUCUUGCAUAAGCAUAUUUCAUGCGGGCCAACUCUUAUAGGCAAGUUUCUCAGCAGGGCUUUCUGGAUGUGCUUGUGUAUUGCCCCCUCCCGCAUCGCCCCCUUCUCAGACCUCAUUAGGAGAGGCAGCAUUCUAAAGAGCUGCUCUAAUUCCUCUCGAACAUCUCUCAAAUCAGCUAAGCUGAGGCAAGUAGCAGCCCAUGCAGCCUUAUUGGUAUGCAUUCCACUCGAGAGCAUGGGCACUGUAAGUGACACAUGAAUUAUGUAUGCCAGCGUUCAGUACAACAGUUAGCAUGCCUAAAGCAGCAUGCAUUUUGAGGGAAAGCCAUUUUGAUUCUGUGAUAUAUUUUACAUCUAAAUGCUUAGCAGGAUCUAGGGCCUGCCUACUGGUUGGUGUCUAGAGCUUGCUGAGUUCAGAACACAUGUGGCUGCAAUCUCUGCUCCAGUUCCUCAAACUUCUGCCCAAAUUGGGAAGCUUCUCUCCCAUUGAUCCCUCCCACUAUGCUAAAUCUUCAAAUUUUAGACUUUUUUAUUACAUGCUAUAUUCUGACUUCUCAAGCAUUAAUUUUGAAAUCAAUUAAACCCAGCCUCUCCUUCUAAACCUCAUGGUAGACAUGAUACCCAAAGACCACUUUGCUCUUGGCACCACAGGGCUAUGGUUCUGCAAUCCUUCUGCAAUGACGCCAGGACUCACUGGAAUGGGAGUAUCUUCUACUCGCCAGGCACAAGGAGUGGUGACAGCAUUCUUGGCAAAGAAGCUAGCGAGUGCCUCUCUGCACAGGGAGAAGACCGCAUGACCCAGUCUGCUCCCGAAGACCUCAACUCUCUACACGUUUGCAGUGGAGAUUGUUCCAACAUGAAUUUUGGAGAGAUUGGAAGCAGUGUGGCCCCUCACCUACUGCCUGUAUGGGGGCCCGUCCCAACCAGAGCAGCCUCACAGCUGUCUACACAACCAGAGCCUUCUCCAGACGGAGCCCGGGCUCAGCCAGAGUCUGCGCAGCCUGCGUUGAGUCCAUCUCGCAGUAGAAGUGAGUGGUGA
rnacentral:lncRNA from 13 species